CCUCAGCCUCCCGAGUAGCUGGGACUACAGGCAUGUGCCACCAUGCCUGACCAAUUUUUGUAUUUUUAGUAGAGACAGGGUUUCACCAUGUUGGACAGGCUGGUCUCGAACUCCUGACCUCAGGUAAUCCUCCCACCUCAGCCUCCCAAAGUGCUGGGAUUACAGGUGUGAGCCACCACACCCGGCCAACCAAAUCUUUCUUUACCUCAAGGAUAAAUGAUUACUGUCACCUUGUGGUGCUGGACUUGAUAACGGUGAGAAAUUCUUCAUUGACUUAAAAAUAGGCUGAUGAUAAGACCAUCAAAGGAGGGUGGACACAGAGAAACAGCAGGUGUGGUCUGAUUCCGCCGGCUUGUCUGUCCUGUCUGGCGCCUCUCGCCACUCACCCUGGCAGAGCAGACAUGCAUCUGGGUGAUGAAAUGCACUGUCUGGAGUCAGUCCAUUCAUUUUUUUUCACCUAGACCUUUGCUACAUUGCUACAAACCUGAUCUUACACAUAUAAAUUGAGGUUUCUAAUGUACACACUUAGACUCAGCAACUGUUGAACCAGCCCUUUCAACCAUGAGAUAGUGGGAUUUAACAUAACCAUCUAUGUGAAUUGAUAGUGUUAGCAUUCUUGGAUAGUGAUAGCUCCUCAGAGUAAGUUGACUUCUGAUGAAGAGAUAGUCCAGGGAUAGAAAUUGGAUUGCUCAGUAAGACCCAGGCCUUUCCGGGGUGAAGCUGCUGGUUCUAAACAAUCCCUUGGACCUGCAGAGUCCUGAGCAAAUGGCACAAAGGUUGCUUUUUAGUGGAAAUUCACAAGGGCCUGUGGGGUGCCUGGAGGUGAUCUUUGAAUGCCUACAUGUCGUGAGCCCUGCAGACAUUCGCCACCCCAUCUGCAUUGUGGCUGCAGCACUGGGGGGGGUCACCAGGUUUAGGGGAGGAGUGUAUGUAGUCAUGGCCACACCCAGAGGCUGGCUUUUGUGCUUUGGGUUUCUUUGUUGACUGAAAAAGCGAGAAAGGUGAGCUAUUGGGAAAUUAAAAGUCCUGUGCACUCUGUGUCUUGUUUAUCAGCUUUGCCUCGGAAUGGAAAAGAAUUUGGAUAGAACAUGAGUGUUGUGUGACGGCCCCAAGAUCUUUAUUAUUUUUUUGUAUCAGAAAGCGCCAAUGCCCAGGCUUAUGUAUGUCCCAGCAGAAGCCACCGCUUGAACUAGAGGUGAACUUUGUCAUCAAGCUGUCCUGUGAGCAGGUCUGGAUCACACUCUGGCUCAGUUUUCUCAUCUGUAAAAUGAGACAUCCCCUCAUUGUGUGGCCUGGCCUUGUCUCAGGGAGCGCCCGCCGAGUGCUGCUGGGUUGGGCAGUUUUUCUGCCCAGUGGCUCUGAUGGGGGCUCAGAGCCCUGGCCUCCCCUGGGAGGACACGCUGUGCAGCCAGGACAGCUGCCGGGAGUGUGCCCAGGUCACUGCUAUGGCCUUCGCAGGGUGACUGGCAGGUAUCAAAUCAGCCCAUGAAGGAAGAUGGUGAUUUUCCUUUUUUGUAGCUAAAUUGGGCAGGCUCUUGGGAAGUAGAAAGUUCUGGUGUUUUUGCUGGUGAAGGUUUUGACUGUGGAGCUCUUCUAACACCCAUAUCAGUGUCUGUUUCUCUGCAUGUGGCUGCUGCCCUGUUGGUGGAGCUCUGGGGGCAGAGACCAGGCCGCCGUCCAGUGGCGCCCCGUGCGCACCAGCUGCCUGCUGUUUACACCCAGGUGCGCCGAGUCUCUUUCAUACAGCACAGCAAAUGAUAAUAGCUAGUGACAAUGUGUUUCCUGUGCACUCGUGAAAAUGCAGGGAGGACAACUGCAUGCUUAGAUCUGUUUCUUUUUUCAGACAUUCAAAUGUUCUAAUAUCUGAAGCUAACAUUUUGUAGGAUAUAGGAUGCUGAUUAUGUGAACAAUUAGUCAUUGGUUUUCUGUACUGCUAUGAAUAUGUCUGAUUUCAAGUUUUGGUCAAAUAUCUAAAAUGCAAGGUGAAAGUGCCUUUGUCUCUAUGCUUCUAAAAUCGCUCAUGCUUAGUUGUGGUAUGGAUGUCUUCCGCAGUGUAUCAUCAAUAAAAUUUCACUGUUUUCACAGAAAUGUUGCUUUUUACAUUUUUUAAACAGUACUUUCCCUGAAUGCCAAACACAGAAUAAAACUUUACUCACCACACUUUCUGGUUUGACUAAAACGCCCGUGAAGGCUGCUAGGGAGCCAGCGAUGCUGACUGGCAAUGCAGGCGACCCUCGUGAUGAGCACACCGGCUGUGGAGGGUUCUGGAUGGAGGCUCAGCUCUUGCCAUUCAUCCUGGCAGAUAGAUAGAUACAUGGCACGCACAUCACAGGUUCAGCACAGGGCGCCAGUACUUUACUUUUAGGGUAGGGGAGAGUGGGUGAGAAACAUUUGUACUUUAAUAUUUUUGUAUAUUUAUUUACUUUUUGAGUUGGGGUCUCUGUCAUCCAGGCUGGAGUGCAGUGGCAUGAUGAUGGCUCACUACACCCUGGACUCCAGGCUCAGGUGAUCCUCCCACCUCAGCCUCUUGAGUAGCUGGGGCUACAGGUGUGCAACACGAUGCCUGGCUAAUUUUUUUAUGUUUUUUAUAGAUUAGAUACAUGAUUUUGCCAUGUUGCCCAGGCUGGUCUUGAACUCCUGGACUCAAGCGAUCUAUCCGCCUUGGCCUCCCAAAGUGCUGAGAUUAUAGGCGUGAGCCACCACACCUGGCCAGUAAUUUACUGUUGUUUUAAAAUCUAUAGCAAUCAAUCAAUCAAUCAAAGCAAAAAUGUCAUCCAUUUUAUAUAAGAGACCUUAUUGACAUUGAGUUUAAAGAACACCUUUCAUUUAAGUGUGAUGUGCCCCUUGUUAAAUAGCUGCCACUGUAAUGGAGGCUUUUAUUCAGCCCUUCCCUAAGCAUCUGCCUCUUGUUUGUUAGGUGACAUCUCACCUGACAACAACUUUAGCAAACAAACACUUGCCACUUCCCCUUUCUAGAACCCCCACUCAGAGAACUAAGAAUAUCUAAAAAUAAC
rnacentral:lncRNA from 1 species